rnacentral:rRNA from 1 species
GACGAACGCUGGCGGCGUGCUUAACACAUGCAAGUCGAACGGAAAGGCCCUGCUUUUGUGGGGUGCUCGAGUGGCGAACGGGUGAGUAACACGUGAGUAUCCUGCCCUUGACUUUGGGAUAACUUCAGGAAACUGGGGCUAAUACCGGAUAGGAGCUCCUGCUGCAUGGUGGGGGUUGGAAAGUUUCGGCGGUUGGGGAUGGACUCGCGGCUUAUCCGCUUGUUGGUGGGGUAGUGGCUUACCAAGGCUGUGACGGGUAGCCGGCCUGAGAGGGUGACCGGCGACAUGGGGACUGAGAGACGGCCCAGACGGCUACGGGAGGCAGUAGGGGGGAAUAUUGCACAAUGGGCGGGAGCCUGAUGCAGAAACGCCGCGUGCGGGAUGACGGCCUUCGGGUUGUAAACCGCUUUCGCCUGUGACGAAGCGUGAGUGACGGUAAUGGGUAAAGAAGCACCGGCUAACUACGUG